rfam:Ictidomys tridecemlineatus contig067769, whole genome shotgun sequence.
GUUGUGGCUCAAAGGUAGGGUGCUUGCCUAGCAUGCAUGAGGCACUGGGUUCGAUCCUCAGCACAACA